AUGUAAAACUUGAGAGUAGUCUUGCUGAAAGUUGGAUCUAAGCUCCAUGUAAAAAUGUUUAAAAGGACUGUGCUUAGUGUACAAGUCUUCAUCUGCAUUAAUUCCUUGUAUUAUGUAUUUACAUUAGAUUUAGCUAAAUACGUAAUGUAAAGUUCUAUCUGCUUUAGUGUCUGUCAGUUCUUCUCGUUUUAACUGAUAUGAGUAGGGCUUAUCUGUGAUGUUAAGGAUACAGUUCUCAAAGCUUUUUAGUCUAGGACCUUGGGCAUUUGAAGAUACAGAGGAUCCUGUAUUGCUUUGCAAGGAAUUAAGGUGACCAUGGAUUUCAUCAAUGAAUUAGCAUGACAGACCCAACAAAAGCUACCUCAAGUACAGCUGGUCUGUUUCAGAAGUGGACUAAAGUACUCUUUUUCGUUUUAUGUCAUUGAAGAUAAUUAACUCCCUGGGACUUAUUUUCUUAAAUAGAGCAGAUGAAACGAGGACAUGAGACCCUAUUUCUUCCUGACAAUGGAAAAACUCCUUUUGACAGUCUUGGAGCUAAACACUGAUGCUGCCGAUGUCUAAACUUAGCUGAGAUGUAUAGCUCUCUCAUUCUGCCUAAAUUUGAGGUCUCUCUAAGUGUGCUUAGAUCUAACACAUGAGAAAUACAAACCUCUUCCCAAUAUGAAAUGCUGGACAUUCUCUUUCCAGAUAACACUGUGAGUAGUGUGGCUAUCUGUGAAAAUGAAUAGAAGGCUUGAUUGGAUUCUCACCUUUUUUUCUGGAAGAUUUUCAAAUGUUGAUUAAUCUCUUCUCAGAAUAGAACUCUACUCACUAGUAAGCAGAAUAAACUUCCUCCAC
rnacentral:lncRNA from 7 species